CACACGACUCUCGGCAACGGAUAUCUCGGCUCUCGCAUCGAUGAAGAACGUAGCGAAAUGCGAUACCUGGUGUGAAUUGUAGAAUCCCGCGAACCAUCGAGUCUUUGAACGCAAGUUGCGCCCGAGGCCACUCGGCCGAGGGCACGCCUGCCUGGGCGUCACGC
rnacentral:rRNA from 1 species